CUCAACCUCGGAAUUGCAGUCGAUACUGCUGUGACUCGAGUCCGGUAGAGGAGAAUGGAAUUCUCGGUGUAGCGGUGAAAUGCGCAGAUAUCGAGAGGAACACCAGUAGCGAAGGCGGUUCUCUGGGCCGGCACUGACGCUGAGGAGCGAAAGCGUGGGGAGCAAACAGGAUUAGAUACCCUGGUAGUCCACGCUGUAAACGUUGGAUACUAGGUGUGGCGGUCUUACCAACGACUGCCGUGCCGAAGCUAACGCAUUAAGUAUCCCGCCUGGGGAGUACGGCCGCAAGGCUAAAACUCAAAGGAAUUGACGGGUCCCCGCACAAGCGGCGGAGCAUGCGGCUUAAUUCGAUGCAACCCGAAGAACCUUACCUGGGUUUGACAUCACGGGAAAAGCUGUAGAAAUACAGUGUCCAUUAGGGCCC
rnacentral:rRNA from 1 species